rnacentral:rRNA from 1 species
UUCCAGACUCCUACGGGAGGCAGCAGUGAGGAAUAUUGGUCAAUGGCCGAGAGGCUGAACCAGCCAAGUCGCGUGAGGGAUGACGGCCCUACGGGUUGUAAACCUCUUUUGUCGGGGAGCAAAGAGAGUCACGUGUGGCUCAUUGAGAGUGCCCGAAGAAAAAGCAUCGGCUAACUCCGUGCCAGCAGCCGCGGUAAUACGUAGGGGGCAAGCGUUAUCCGGAUUUACUGGGUGUAAAGGGAGCGUAGACGGCAAUACAAGUCGGAAGUGAAAUACCCGGGCUCAACCUGGGAACUGCUUUGGAAACUGUAUGGCUGGAGUGCUGGAGAGGUAAGCGGAAUUCCUAGUGUAGCGGUGAAAUGCGUAGAUAUUAGGAGGAACACCAGUGGCGAAGGCGGCUUACUGGACGGUAACUGACACUGAGGCACGAAAGCGUGGGGAGCAAACAGGAUUAGAUACCCCGGUAGUA